rnacentral:rRNA from 1 species
UGGGGAAUUUUGGACAAUGGGCGCAAGCCUGAUCCAGCCACGCCGCGUGCAGGAAGAAGCAUCUAUGGUCUGUAAACUGCUUUUGUACGGGAAGAAACACUCCUUCGUGAAGGAGCUUGACGGUACCGUAAGAAUAAGGAUCGGCUAACUCCGUGCCAGCAGCCGCGGUAAUACGGAGGAUCCAAGCGUUAUCCGUAAUCAUUGGGUUUAAAGGGUCGGUAGGCGGUUUAAUAAGUCAGGUGUGAAAGCCCAUCGCUCAACCAUGGAACGGCGAAUGAUACUGUUAGACUUGAAUUACAAGGAAGUAACUAGAAUAUGUAGUGUAGCGGUGAAAUGCGUAGAUAUUACAUGGAAUACCAAUUGCGAAGGCAGGUUACUACUUGUGGAUUGACGCUGAUGGACGAAAGCGUGGGGAGCGAACA